ACCUGGCUGGCUCAGUCAGUUGAGCAUGCGACUCUUGAUCUCGAGGUCGUGAGUUCAAGCCCCAUGUUAGGGU
rnacentral:tRNA from 1 species